rnacentral:rRNA from 1 species
GACGAACCGUGCGAACGUUGUUCGGAAUCACUGGGCUUAAAGGGCGCGUAGGCGGGCUGCCAAGUCUGGGGUGAAAUCCCACGGCUCAACCGUGGAACUGCCUUGGAUACUGGCGGCCUCGAGGGAGGUAGGGGCAUGCGGAACUGUGGGUGGAGCGGUGAAAUGCGUUGAUAUCCACAGGAACUCCGGUGGCGAAGGCGGCGUGCUGGGCCUCUUCUGACGCUGAGGCGCGAAAGCCAGGGGAGCAAACGGG